rfam:Ciona savignyi cont_62205, whole genome shotgun sequence.
GUCGUCGUGGCAGAGUGGUUGAGGCGACAGACUUGAAAUCUGUUGGGCUCUGCCCGCACAGGUUCAAAUCCUGUCGGCGACG